rnacentral:tRNA from 1 species
GAGAAUGUAGUUCGGUGGUAGAGUGCUUGCCCGGCACGCAUGAGGCCUUGGGUUUGAUCCCCAACACACACA